CAGUCGCCGCGGUAAUACGAAGGGUGCAAGCGUUAAUCGGAAUUACUGGGCGUAAAGGGUGCGUAGGCGGUUGUUUAAGUCUGUUGUGAAAUCCCCGGGCUCAACCUGGGAAUGGCAAUGGAAACUGGACGGCUAGAGUGUGUCAGAGGAUGGUGGAAUUCCUGGUGUAGCGGUGAAAUGCGCAGAUAUCAGGAGGAACACCGGUGGCGAAGGCGGGUCUCUGGGCCGAUAUUGACGCUGAGGAGCGAAAGCGUGGGGAGCGAACAGGAUUAGAUACCCCCGUAGUCCCUGUCUCUUAUAC
rnacentral:rRNA from 1 species